UUGGAAAGUUGGCACUUGUAGAUCCAGCCCCGGAGUUGGUGCCUCUACAAGGAGCUGCAUAUUAACUUCUGAAGAGCCGCAUGUGGGCCACCCGUGGCACAGAGCAUCUGCACUAUCAGCGCUGCAGCAGCAUCUGGGACACUGCUCCACUGUAGUGAUUUUGGUGUUGACUAUCCCACUGAGUGAGAAUUUCAUGGGGCUUAUCCUCCAAAGUCUUUGGUGCUUCUGAAAUUUCCACCCACAUAUUGAAUAAGAAUUUAAUAGCUCCUGGCUACUAGCCCAUACUUCCUUCUCCAAAACUAUGUAAUCACCAGUCAAACAGAUUUAGGGUUUGUAAUUCCACCUUAUAGCAUGAGUUGGUUUUAUUUCAAAGCUUUAUGAAAAGGUUCUCUAAUUUUUUUUUUGGUAGAAAAUUACAAUAAUUUGCAAACAAUUGUCCCCUCCUCCCUUUAAAAAAAAAUUAAAAAACCCACAACCAGAGUUACCCUCUCCAGAAACAAAGAAAGAAAGAAAGAAAGAAAGAAAGAGAGCAGAAUCUGUCUGUAAUAACCGAGCAAGAGAGAAGGCACUGCUAUCUCCUAACAGGUGUAUUGCAUUGCUUUAUAUAUGAUGCCUGAAUGAACUCCAACUUCAAUCAAAAGUCCCACUUUAAUUGCAUAUAGAUGUAUAAGGGAGGCAGUGUAGCUUAGUGGAUAGAGCACUUAACCUAGAACGCUGGAUUUAUUCCUGGUUCUGCCACUGCCCUGCUGUGUGAUCUUAGGCAAGUAACUUCACCUACCCGCCCCCCUACAAGUAUCUCAGUUUUCCCAUCUGUAAAACAGGGAUAAUGAUAUCUUCCUCUUUUGUAUAGCACUUUGAGAUUAUCUGAUGAACGGUGCUAGAUUAUUAUUUGUUCAUAAUUAUUUACAUUUAAAGACAAAAUGUCCUGGCCAUGGCUCUGGGCACCCUGGCAAUGAGGUGGAACCGCAGCCUGCACAUGUGAAUAUCCACCUAGUAGCAUAACAGCCUUUGUUCACAGUUAAAGUAAAUUAGCUCCAUCAGCUGGUAAUUUCAAGCAGAAAACAAAACCCCUCCCAUUCCUGGAGCACUGCCUAAAAGCCCAAGCCAACAGAUGGAUUUUGCAACUGGCCCUAAAGAUUAAAAGGUUUGGGCUACUUUGCCUUUUUAACCUAGGAUCUCAGAACAUUUUACAAGCUUCAGUUAAUUACGCUUUAUAACUCAUCCAGGAGGUAGGUAAGCAUUAUCUUCAUUUUACAGGUUGGGAAAGCGAAGGACAAGAAAGAUGAAGAGAUUUGCCCAAGACCUACAGAAUGAGACGUUGGAAUGAAACCUUAGAGUCCUGGUUCCCAGUCCCAUCUACUCACCAGAUGUCUUGAUGUCCAUUCCUUCCUUUUGAUCUAAGGUCCAUGCGAAAGGUGUGCAGUCUGCAGCAUCAGGAAUACCUUCCAUUGUGCUUACCAACAUAAGGACCAGCAGUAACACUUCAAGAGCACAGUCUGUCAGCCUUCCUCUAGCUGCUGCUUAACGCUCCAACACAAGUCUUAUCUACAUUAGGGAUUUUUCAUCAGUGCAAACCCCCUCUGACGUCUGUUGACUGUCUACACUAGGGGUUCCUACUGUUGCAGCUAUAUUAGUGUUGUUACACACGUGUAAAAUCCCUAUAGCUAAGCCUGGGGGUCUGAUUUUCAAAUGUGCUGAGCAUUGGCAGUGCCACUGGACUCCAGUUAGAAAUGUAAGUGCCCGGCAUGUCUGAAAACCAGGGUAAUUGGUAUUCACUCAUGCCGAAGCACGUUGUGCAACCCUGGGUACAGUUUGUGCUUCUCUAAAGCUGCAACUUUUCGUUGCCUCUUUUAAUGACUCCGCUAACACUCCACGUGUUCUCCAACCCUUAGAUCAUUUUGCUGGCUCUUAAGUGCACCCUUGUCAAUCCGUUUUAAACUGUGGUCACCAGAACUCUGUGCAGUAUUAGUAUGAGUCUCACCAGUGCCAUACACAGAGUAAAAUCAAAGUGCUGCGCUGACUCCCUAGUCCCCUGUUUAUACAGCCCAGGAUUGCAUUAGUCCUUUUUGCUUUGGGGCAUAAGAUUGCUGAGGAAGAGGGGAGAUGUCACCCAGAGAGUGAGCGUCUCCCCACGGCAUCAGCUGAUGUUGAGGAUGCUGGAACGUCUGCUUCCCCGCGCUAUGAAUGCGCUACACAAAGAGAACUGCAAGUCCCAGAAGGCACCUGCCCUGUUUCUCCAGGGACUCCUUUACCUGUGCAGCCCCGGCUUUGGCUCCGAUCAGCUUACCAGUCCAGAUGGACGGGGGGAGCGAUAAGGUUGCAUCAGCCAGACAUGCUUUGGCAGCCUGCCCAGCCACAGCCCGGCUCGGGUCUGUCUGUCUGCUUUGCAGAGUGCACAACGCACCUCUGGCAGAGCUGAGGAAGGACUGUGUCUCCUUGGCUGCGGCAUCCUAACCAGCUGGCUGAUGUGCUAAGCAAAGGGUGGCUGGACAGGCGUGAUCCGUUAUAAGGAAGUGGGACUGAGAGCUGCAGAUUUGGAAACUCCUUGCGGGGAUGGGGGCAAGGCCACAGGCAGCACUGGAGAACUAGCACGGGCUGACUCUAGGGGCGUCAAGCACUCAAGUGGCAGAGGAGCUACUUUGUAUCUUCCCUGCGCCAGGGUCUGUUUAAGAUCCCUUUUACAGGUUUACAGGUUUACACGUUUGCUUCCCCGUGGUCGUGUGCCAGCAUGGCAGACACUGAUGUGCAGCCUGCUAGAGAUGCUGUGGAAGGAGUGGCUGCCCAGCCCAAUGCCCCAUCCUGAGGAAAGCAGGAAGUGGUGGCAUGGAAGGAUUUGGAUACUGGAAGAUGGUGGAGCUGUACAGCAGAGGAGAGGGGACCAGAUGAGUAGCAGUGGAUGCCCUGGGGCAGGCGCUGCUGAACUGCAUUCAAAGUGCCUGCCCUCUCCAGAAUGGGCAAGUGAAGGGGGAGCCAGAAGCACAACUGGGUCACCACCAGGUGUCUGUGCUGCUCCUCGGGCUCUCUAGGAGCUGCCCUUUUAGUGAGGUCACAGGGAAAGGCUCCCAGAUGCUGCAGACUGCCCAAGUAAGGGUCCAGGCAGGCAGGCAGGCAGGGUCCAGUGGAGCUGCAGUACUGGACUGGAUACCACCUUCUAGGCCAUGGGGAAGAAUGCCAAACAGGUAGCUAAGUCAGUGUCAUACACACCACCCACAAAGGGCACCAGGGCUAAGAUUCCCAUUCCUAGUAGACGUGUCCAUAUCCCAUCCCCAAACCCACCCCCAUGGUUGGCCCUGUCCUGUCAGCCUCAGCAAGGAGGCCAGCGACUGUGUCGACUUGGAGAAUAAACCAUCCUGCCACCCCUCAUCCAGAGGAAGCCAGAGUCUUGGGAUUGCCCUUGUUAUUGUAUGUCCCUUUUUGUGAGUGCCCACCUGGUGCUGUACACCAGAGGGCAAAGCAGAUGGACAGCCAGGUGAAUGGCAGGAGGGUGGCACACAGCAUGAUGUAAAGGGCUCAGAGCAGUAGCAGCUAAAGAUUGCGUGACCUAGUAGCCUGAAUACAGGACUGGGACUCGUGAGGUCUUGCGUCUUAAUCCCAACUCUAGCAGUGACUUGCAGCUCUUUGCCUUAGUGUCUCCCUCUGUAGCAUGGAGUAAUGAUGUCGUAGAGAAGGGGUCGUGUGGGGAUGAAUAAGUCAAUGCUUUUGUGAUAGAAGGGGCCCAGUAUUGCUGCCCUGCGGGUCACCAUCCUGAGCACCAGAAUGUGCAGCCUGCAUGUUAGAGGCUGCUGGUCUCUGUUACUGGGUAGCAAGGGAGGUUCGAUCAGGCUUUUGCCAAGCUUGUCAGCAUUGCUGUAAAGCAAAGAGCAAACCGAGUGAGUCAGGCAAAGCUGCUGACAGCCCAGAGCAGCUGGUAAAUGGGAGGAAGCAACACAAACAGCCCAGGAAAAGUGCUGAGAUUGCAGGUGACCGAUUUUAUGCCUCUAAUUGGCUGUGGAUGGAUCACCAGAGGCUAAGGAGCGAUGGGGGUGUCUGAUGCCACUCCUUAUUGCUGAGUUUAUUGCUUACAUGUGCUACAGACCAGCCUUGCUCAAUCUGAACUGCCUCUCUGCUAAUCGGGAGGGGGGGUGCUUUGUGUUUUGGCUCUUGUGUAAUAAGCUCUUCUCUGUAGGCAAUUGCAUGCAUGCAGCCUGUCUUUUCAGGACUGUUGUAGGCUCUGAGCAACUGCUUCAAGCAAGGUUAGGUCUCUCGUGGCGUUUGCCUCAACGUUUUCUGAUUAGAUAUUUUUUUCUCAAAUAUUUUGUGUUAUCUGCAAGUGUCUCUGCUGAAUUAAAUCACCAGUGUUGACCUUU